rnacentral:lncRNA from 1 species
AUGGCUGGCCUGUCCCCAUGGGCGCCCCAUGCAGCACCUUGUCCUGGGCGGCCUGGGCCGGCUGGGCUCACCCUGCUGCUCGCCGGGCUCCGGGGGUCACAGGCGGCGGGACGCGCUGGCCGGAGUCAAGCUCCUGGGAGAGCCGCGGAUGGGGGGGUCGUUGGCGUCAGCCCAUGGGCCCUGACACUUGUGGGUGGAACUUGUGUGUGCACCGAGCGUGGCUCGCGGGGUCCCCGGGGGCACGAACAACCCUUACCCCCUCCCACCUGCCAGCUGGGUACCUCCACCCCAGGCCCUCUGGGGCGUCAUCCCCGCAGCCUACGGGGCAGGUGCCCCACUCCGGGCCCUCAGCCCACCCACUCACACCCUCUGCCCUUCUCGACACAGAAACUAGAGCAAGAGCGUGAGCACGUGGGAGGGGAUCCUGAGGACCCGCGCGUCACGCCAGGUAAGACUCCUGGACCCCUCCCUCCUCCUGAGGCCGGCGCGACUGUCCUUGGCUUUUCCCUUGCGCUCAGGGUAGAAAGGCGUCCGCUUUCAUCUUUAAAGCACGUACACGCGUGCACCCACGCACACACGGCCCCCACAGCACAUCACAGCCUCACGCAAGCCCCGCGAGGGGACCCGUUCACCCUUCCCAGUUUGCAGAUAGGAACUAGAGGUCCCGUGAGGUGGCCACGCCUGGGCCAGGCCCACGUUGCUGCAAGCUUGUUCGGGGCCGGGGGGCUGCGACCUGUCAGGUGGGCGCAUCCUCGGGCCCAGAGCAGGCCCCUGGGCCCCUGCCACCCUGGCCAAGGGUCAGGCUGUCAGGCCACAGGAACUAGGGGGAGGCCGGCCCUCCCUGGGGACAGCGUCCAGGUGCAGGGGGCCUGCAGGGGCUGCGGCGCGAGCCCCAGGGCCAUGGGAGUCCAGACCGGGAAUCCCAAGCCAGGCGACCUGGCCGGCGAGGAAGAGCAGGGCCCUGCAGUGGGCCGGGCCGAGGGACUCCUGGGGCCGCCCAGGCCUGCGCUCCAUCCUCUGCACAGGGGCGGGCGGGGCGGGCGGGGGGCGGGGGGGCGGCGGGCCGCGCUGUGUCCAGAGGAAGGAGGACUCUUGGGAGCCGCUCUGGAGGCAGCGGGCGGCGGGCGGGCCUCCGGGGCUUGGGGCGCAGGUGCUCGGCGGGAAGGGCCUCCCACCCGGGGCAGGGCGGUGCCGGGCCCCGGGCGAACCUGCUCCUUCCUGAGUGACCGCGUCCCCGCAGGAGGCGAGGACCGGCCCGACGCGGCCCUGCUGGGUGCCCUGGGGAGGCGCCGAGACCUUCUGCGGACGCUCCGGACAUGGUGGAGAUGA